rnacentral:rRNA from 1 species
AUACGGAGGGUGCAAGCGUUAAUCGGAAUUACUGGGCGUAAAGCGUACGUAGGCGGUUCGUUAAGUUAGAUGUGAAAGCCCCGGGCUUAACCUGGGAACUGCAUUUAAAACUGGCGAACUAGAGUUGAGUAGAGGGGAGUGGAAUUUCAGGUGUAGCGGUGAAAUGCGUAGAGAUCUGAAGGAACACCAGUGGCGAAGGCGACUCCCUGGACUCGAACUGACGCUGAGGUACGAAAGCGUGGGUAGCAAACAGGAUUAGAAACCCUGGUAGUCC